rnacentral:tRNA from 1 species
GCCGAUGUGGUGGAAUUGGUAGACACGCCGUCUUGAGGGGGCGGUGGCGCUAGCCGUGCCGGUUCGAGUCCGGCCAUCGGCACCA